rnacentral:rRNA from 1 species
GAUGAACGCUAGCUACAGGCUUAACACAUGCAAGUCGAGGGGCAGCAUUUUUUAUUAGCAAUAUAAAAGAUGGCGACCGGCGCACGGGUGAGUAACACGUGGGUGGCCUGCCUUCGAGUGGGGGAGUAACCUUCCGAAAGGAGGGCUAAUACCGCAUGACAUACCGUGUUUGGAUACACGGAUAUCAAAGCCGGGGAUCGCAAGACCUGGCGCUUGGAGAGGGCCCGCGUCCGAUUAGCUAGUUGGUGAGGUAACGGCUCACCAAGGCUCCGAUCGGUAUCCGGCCCUGAGAGGGCGGACGGACACACUGGAACUGAGACACGGUCCAGACUCCUACGGGAGGCAGCAGUGGGGAAUUGUUCGCGAUGGGCGAAAAGCCUGACGACGCAACGCCGCGUGGAGGAAUGAAGAAUUUCGGUUCGUAAACUCCUUUCGACCGAGAUGAAUACCCAUGGACCCAACACGUCCGUGGGCUGACAGUAUCGAGAGAAGAAGCCCCGGCUAACUCUGUGCCA